ACGGGAGGCAGCAGUGGGGAAUAUUGGGCAAUGGGGGAAACCCUGACCCAGCAACGCCGCGUGAGGGAUGAAGGCCUUCGGGUUGUAAACCUCUGUCCUCAGGGACGAACAAAAUGACGGUACCUGAGGAGGAAGCUCCGGCUAACUACGUGCCAGCAGCCGCGGUAAUACGUAGGGAGCAAGCGUUGUCCGGAAUUACUGGGCGUAAAGGGUGCGUAGGCGGCGCGUUAAGUCAGAUGUGAAAUACCCGGGCUCAACCCGGGGGGUGCAUCUGAUACUGGCGUGCUUGAGUGCAGGAGAGGAAAGCGGAAUUCCUAGUGUAGCGGUGAAAUGCGUAGAUAUUAGGAGGAACACCAGUGGCGAAGGCGGCUUUCUGGACUGUAACUGACGCUGAGGCACGAAAGCGUGGGGAGCAAACAAGAUUAGAUACCCUGGUA
rnacentral:rRNA from 1 species